rnacentral:lncRNA from 1 species
CCGGGUUCUGUUGGGUUCUAUUGCCAGGAAGUGACAUCAUUUCCUGGGUUCGUUGCCGAGGUCCCUUACACAAAGCUCCCCAAGGGGAUCUCUGGGUUUCUGACUGCUCACCCACCCCCUUAGGCUGUGUGUAGACACAGUGACUGCCGCACAGCCCACCCCUCAGCCUGGGGAGGCCUGGGUGCAGCCAGGGCCUGAGCUCUGAGGACACAGCCAUUUUCAGACCAGGCUCCUCCUUCUCAUAAGUGAUGUGGCCCUGGACAAGCCAUGUGCCCCUCAGGGUUUCCCCAGUCUGUCCACCUGCAGAGUGGGGGCCAUUCUCCCAUCCCUGCCUAGGUCUCUUGGCCUACAAACAGCUCCAGUGCCUGUUCACCCCAUGGUAAGAAUUUCCACAGUUUAAUGGAUUCAGCAGUUCUACCAGCAGGGAUGCUGUGUCCAGUGAAAGAUGUGGCCAUACGCAGGCACGUCUCCCAAAGGCACUGUGAUGCCCCCUCAGUCAUCCUGACGGGGGAGGCUGGACGGAAUCUCUUGGCCGACGGAAGAAUGGUCUGCAAAAAGGAGCUGCGCGUUUCCACCAUCAGAUUCUCCACUGGAUCAUUAACCUGAUUAUAGAAAUGGCCAUUGGAUGCAUGAAAUGGUGCUCAGCAUCACUAACCAUCAGGGAAAUGAAGUCAAAACCCUACUGAGAGAUCACCUUACACCUCUUACAAUAGCUGUCAUAAAAAUGAUCAGAAAUAAAUGCUAGCAAUAACGUGCAGCAAAGGGAACCCUUUUGCAAUGUUGGUAGGAAUGUAAAUUGUUGCAAUUGCUAUGGAAAUCAGUCUGAAUAUUCCUCAAAAUAUUAAAAACAUAGUUCAUUUCAGUUGCUCAGGUGUGUCUGACUCUUUGUGACCC